GGUGACAAGCCAAGAGGGGGGGGGGGUGAAUUGGUUUCUUCUAAAUUUUGGUGCUUUAAACAUUUUCUUAAUUAAGUGCGGUGGAUGCUUCCUUAAACUAUUUGAAUGAUUUAAACUAGUGCAAAGAUAGAAGAUGAUGCAAGAAUAAACGUAAGCACAAGCACAACACAAACACAACAAUAUAUAGUGGUUCGGUGCUCUCCUUAGCACCUACGUCC
rnacentral:lncRNA from 1 species